rnacentral:rRNA from 1 species
UCGAGGGGCAGCACGAGGUAGCAAUACUUUGGUGGCGACCGGCGCACGGGUGCGUAACGCGUAUGCAACCUACCUUUAACAGGGGCAUAACACUGAGAAAUUGGUACUAAUACCCCAUAACAUCAGGACCGGCAUCGGUUCUGGUUGAAAACUCCGGUGGUUAUGGAUGGGCAUGCGUUGUAUUAGCUGGUUGGUGAGGUAACGGCUCACCAAGGCAACGAUACAUAGGGGGACUGAGAGGUUGACCGGCCACAUUGGGACUGAGAUACGGCCCAGACUCC